GGCUGAAGACACCGGCACCGGGGAAUGCGAGGCGCGCGCCGCCGCGCAGUCAGCCUCGUGCUCGCCGCAGGAGGUGUCCAUCGCGCCUCCUCCUCCUCUGGAUGUCGCGCGCUGUGAGGAGAGGGAGAGAGGAACAGCCGUCACCAUGACAACAGGCGGGAACAGGUGAGCUGCAGAGAAAAGAUGCAGCAUCACUGCGGCUCUGCAGUUCUGGUCCACAAAGACCCAGUUCUGCUCAGAGAUGCUCAAACUCCAAACCAUAAUAACUCUGAAGGGGUCACCAAGGUCAAACCAGAUCCUCACAGUGUUUCCUGGUCUCCAUGGAAACAGACAUUCUUCAGACCUUCAGUCGUCUUCAGGAUCUGUGACGGAUGAGACGUUUUCCAGAACCUGCAUCCAGUUCAAGUUCAUCUCUGCUUCUAAAGUUCUGAGUGGAUCUGUGGAACCAGCAGGAACAUCCAGGAGAGCUGGAGGGGAAAGGACGUCCCGCCGCCGGCGGUCCAGCUUUUAAGAGAGGAGCGGCGGCGGGGCGGCAGGACAUGUAGGUCUGUGGGUCGACAGAAAGCCAUUACUCUGAUUACCUGCUGACCUGCGGAGGAUUAACUCACCUCAGAGAAAAUUACGUGAUGAGGACAAACUGCUCCACAUUACAGAGAAAUGACCCGCCUCUCAAAUGUCAGAAACAAAGUAAGAAAUCUGACUUCCAGAUGAGAAUCAGAGGAUCUGCAGGAGCAUCUUCAGCUCCACAGAGACCCCUGCUGGAUGAAACUAGAAUGACAUGAAGACCUUCAGAUCUGAGACUGAAACCAGAACUUUAGUUUUUAGUUUCAUUGAACGUAGUUUUAAAGUAUCUUCUUCACCCAGAAAUCUCCUCAGCAAAUAGAAUGUGAUGAAACUCAAAGAUUCCUGAGAUUCUGAUGAUGAUGACGAGUCCCACACCAUCAUACUGCCUCCACCAAAGGACGUUCUCUACAUUUGACCCUGUUGGCUCCUUUCAGUCAGAACCAUCUCUACAGCUCGGUCUCGCUGAUGGGCGGGGCUUCCAUCAGGAGGAGACCGUACUGUGGACACAGAGUCUGAUCCAUCUGCUGCAGGAAAACAACGUUCCUCCUCGUGUUCCUGAGGGAGGAGAAUGGAGGGCAGCCUGUCGCUGGACUGGCUUCACGAGAGACGCUUCAUCCAUCAUCCAUCCAUCCAUUCAAUCAUCCAUCAGUUCAUCCAUCAUCUAUCCAUCAUCCAUCAUCCAUUAGUUCAUCCAUCAU